UCAUUAUCCAUAACGACUCUCGGCAACGGAUAUCUCGGCUCUCGCAUCGAUGAAGAACGUAGCGAAAUGCGAUACUUGGUGUGAAUUGCAGAAUCCCGUGAACCAUCGAGUCUUUGAACGCAAGUUGCGCCCCAAGCCUUUAGGCCGAGGGCACGUCUGCCUGGGUGUCACG
rnacentral:rRNA from 3 species